GGAGCAUGUGGUUUAAUUCGAUGAUACGCGAGGAACUUACCUGGGCUCGAACGUAAGAUGACUGUAGGUGAAAGACUUACAUCUCUUCGGAGCAUUUUACGAGGUGCUGCAUGGUUGUCGUCAGCUCGUGCCGUGAGGUGUCGGGUUAAGUUCCAUAACGAGCGCAACCCUACCUUUAGUUGCCAUCAGGUAAUGCUGGGGACUCUAAAGGAACUGCCUACGCAAGUAGUGAGGAAGCGGGGAUGACGUCAAAUCAGCACGGCCCUUACGUCCAGGGCUACACACGUGCUACAAUGGCCGAUACAGAGGGCAGCUACCUGGUGACAGGAUGCAAAUCUCCAAAGUCGGUCUCAGUUCGGAUCGGAGUCUGCAACCCGACUCCGUGAAGUUGGAUUCGCUAGUAAUCGCGCAUCAGCCAUGGCGCGGUGAAUACGUUCCCGGGCCUU
rnacentral:rRNA from 1 species